rnacentral:rRNA from 1 species
AUUGAACGCUGGCGGCAGGCCUAACACAUGCAAGUCGAGCGAGCGGCGGACGGGUGAGUAAUGUAUGGGGACUGCCCGAUAGAGGGGGAUAACUACUGGAAACGGUGGCUAAUACCGCAUACUAUCGGAUAACCCAUAUGGGAUUAGCUAGUAGGGAAGGUAAUGGCUUACCUAGGCGACGAUCCCUAGCUGGUCUGAGAGGAUUAUCAGCCACAGUGGGGCUGAGACACGGCCCAGACGCCUACGGAGGCAGCAGUGGGGAAUAUUGCACAAUGGGCGCAGGCCUGAUGCGUCCAUGCCGCGUGUAUGAAGAAGGCACUAGGGUUGUAAAGUACUUUCAGUCGAGAGGCGUUACCGACAGAAGAAGCACCGGCUAACUCCGUGCCAGCAGCCGCGGUAAUUC